rnacentral:rRNA from 1 species
CAACAGGGAUUGCCCUAGUAACGGCGAGUGAAGCGGCAACAGCUCAAAUUUGAAAUCUGGCUCUCGGGCCCGAGUUGUAAUUUGUAGAGGAUACUUUUGAUGCGGUGCCUUCCGAGUUCCCUGGAACGGGACGCCAUAGAGGGUGAGAGCCCCGUCUGGUUGGAUGCCAAAUCUCUGUAAAGUUCCUUCGACGAGUGGAGUAGUUUGGGAAUGCUGCUCUAAAUGGGAGGUAUAUGUCUUCUAAAGCUAAAUACCGGCCAGAGACCGAUAGCGCACAAGUAGAGUGAUCGAAAGAUGAAAAGCACUUUGAAAAGAGAGUUAAAAAGUACGUGAAAUUGUUGAAAGGGAAGCGUUUAUGACCAGACUUGGGCUUGGUUAAUCAUCUGGGGUUCUCCCCAGUGCACUUUUCCAGUCCAGGCCAGCAUCAGUUUUCCCCGGGGGAUAAAGACUUCGGGAAUGUGGCUCUCUUCGGGGAGUGUUAUAGCCCGUUGUGUAAUACCCUGGGGGGGACUGAGGUUCGCGCAUCUGCAAGGAU